GGCUGUGUAUCCCAAUGGAAGAGGAAGAGGACUUAAAAUCCUUACAGUGUGGGUUCGAAUCCCUCCACAGCCACCA
rnacentral:tRNA from 1 species